ensembl:lincRNA
CCACUGGAAGCAAGAAGAGCAGUUCUUCAUCUCUUCAUUCUUUCAUUUAGUGAGUAUUCAUUGAGUGUUUUACUCUGUGCCAGCACAGAGCUAGGUACUGGGGAACACCAAAAUGAACAAGAGAGCAUUAAUUCCCUGCUCUCAGAUUUUACCAUCUAACUGGGUCUACAGGCAAGUAAACUGGCAAGAACACUUUGUUAUAAGAACUUGCAUUCUAUCAAGUAACUGAAAGCCUUCCCAUCACCAUCCUUUGCAUCUGGGAACAAAGUAGUGCUGCCCAAGAUGUUUUUGUGGCAGAGAAGAUUAUGAAACAAACUUCCCCAGCUCUUUGGAGAGACAGAAAAGAAUGGCUAAGAAGAGCUGACUCUCUCAGCGAUAGAAAUGCAUGCUUUCAGCAAGAUACCCUCUAAGGGAUAUGAAACUUAUGUUUCCAAGGCAUUGUGUCUCCAGGAACUAGGAAAUGUUUUGAAAAUGAAGCAAAAUUGCUUGAUGAGUAAGAAGCUGAGCUAUGGUUUCUUCACUGAGAUCAGCUGUCUCCAGGAACUUGAGUAACUGUCUCCAACCCAGUGUGUGGAUGAGGAGAGCAGAAGGACCUUAGGUAAUCCAGGAUUUAGCAAAACACAAGAUUGGCCUCCUGAUAAUCCAUUCCUUGUAUAUAGCAACAAAACUACAAUGAAAAGUGUACCAAAAAAUCUCCUCCAAGUAAGAGCAUUAAGUUUUACAAUAACAAGAUCAAUAACAUGCUGGACCCAGGAUGUUUUGUGGGCAAUGCUUCCCCAUUAUCCUAGUUACCUCAAAAGAUUCUAGAUGAACCACAAGCAUUCCCAUUUGUCUCUGAAGUUCAUCAUGGAUCUGUCAUCCAUGAAUUCAGCUAACUAUUUGAGAAGUGAUUUAUAUCUCUAUCGAAUAAUAAGUAACAUAUGUUAUUUACUGUGUGAAGUGGUUUAUUCUUGUUUGAACUAAAUUUCUGUCUCUUGAAUUUUACAGGUGAUUUUUCUCAUUCAAUUAAAUCACAUUUGUAAACAAAUGUGUUUUCUUCCCCCACACUUUGCAUAAUUUUGUAGAUCUCAACCUCUGCUUUUCCAGAUUAAAGAGUAUUUUUUGUUGUUUUUUUGUGGUUUUUUUUUUUUUGGCCAUUUUAGUAGGACUAUCAAGAAAACCUAUAAAUGUCAGAAUCUCAGAAGUAGAGCAAAGAUCCUUUUUUUUUUUUUUUUUUUUUUUUUUUGAGAUAGAGUCUCACUCAGUCGCCAAGGCUGGAGUGCAGUGGUAUGAUCUCAGCUCACUGCAACCUCCGCCUCCUGGAUUCAAGUGAUUCUCCUGCCUCAGCCUCCUGAGGAGAUGAGAUUACAGGUGCCCGCCACCACGCCUGGCUAAUUUUUUUGUAUUUUUAGUAGAGACGGGUUUUGCCAUGUUGGCCAGGCUGGUCUCAAACUCCUGACCUCAAGUGAUCCGCCCUCCUUGACCUCCCAAAGUGCUGGGAUUACAGGCGUGUUUGCUCACUUCUUAAUAGGGAAUCUUUGCAGUGAACAUGGAGAUACAUAAUGGUCUAGAAAGAAAUAAAAUAUACUGCAUUGUUUGGAGGAACAUUUCCAGAGAGCAAGGCUUAUUUGAUUUGACUGCACAGGCCUAUUCAGCAGUUUUAUUAAAGGUUUCUCAAAUUGUCAAUCUCCCUAUCUUACCCCUAUUAUUGUUCAGGUGAAGAAAAUAGUUACUUAGUAAUUAGGCUAAAUCAGAACAUUUAGUCUCUGCCUACGUGAUCUCAUUUCAUCGUCACCACACCUCUGAAAAAUAGGCAAGACUAUCCCUGUUUUACAAAUAAGCAACUGAGGCUUAGAGAGAAGUUAAAACCCAAUACUGGGUUUGAAUCCAGUCCUGACUCUAAGUACCCAGAUGAGUAGCUGAAAUUGCUUUCUAGCCCAUCUCAUUGGAUGGAUUCUUACUCCUUUAGGUUGAUCCUUAUCUUUUAGGGUAUGGAUAUAUCCUUAACAUUCACAGUUCCUUUAUACCAGCUAUGCAUUUGAAGUAUCUUAGGUAAAAACCAUAAUGACAGGAAUGUAUCUACUGCAUCUGUCUCUGUAGCCAUUUUUAUAUUUUGGCAGUUCUGUUUGGAAUGAGAUUAUAGCACAUUCACUAGCAUUAAUCCCAUACGAGUUAAAGUGAAUGGUAGUAAUGUUAUUAAUUAAAAACAUGAGAUGCUACCAGUUUUUAAUUUGGAUGGUUGAAAUCGUAUGUAUGGCCAUUUUCCACUUGUAAAUUCAAUCUUUUAUCCCCAUGAAGCAUCUAAAAUGAGAGAAAUAAAAAUACUGUUGUUAAACAUUUGGGAGAUUAUUUUGUAAGCCAGUGAAAACAGAAUCUUUCAUUCGUUUCACCAAUAGUGGGAAGGUUUUCUUUCUAAUUUUUCUGUGUAUAUUCCCUUGGGAAUGAGUUCACAUAACACAAAAUAAUAUUCUUUUUUGUCCCCCACAAAAAACACUAUUAGUUCCACAUGGUGACAUCCAUCUCCCUUUUCAAAAAUGCCCUGAGAGCUCCCCGGACAGACUCAAUAUGAUUCAAAAACAUAAGGAAUGGCUUAUUUUAACUUUUGUACUAAAGUCUAAGGCAAGACAACUUUUAAAAUAAUACACAUGGUCGAAAUUGAAGACUAUUUUCUCUAUAUCAUGAUAGUUUCUAAAUUAAAACAAAUUUCUCCACUUUCUUGGGCCUUUGUGAAAAUGUGAACCCAUUGGGGUACCUGGACCAAAAGGCAGUGCCUCCUCCCUCCCCACAGCCAGGGGGAUUAUGGUUGCAACAUGGCAGUCAAGUUCUGAGGACAUAGCCAGGGGCUAAAGCAGAAUUUUUAACUAUUAAACAUCUACUAAAGUAUCUGUGCUCCUUGAAAAGUAUGAUAUAUAGAACAGUUUUCCCCUAAA